rnacentral:lncRNA from 1 species
CACAAGGAUGAUGAAAAUAGCUCUUCCUUCCCGUUUGAAGGAAGGAGGCGUGACAAUAUUGACGAUAGACUCAGCUGAUAAACCGACUCGUCCUACACGUGACAGCAGUUGUUCGACAUAAGCCCACAGGUCGGAAAUUGUUGGACACUGCACGAGUGCGUGCAGAACGGUUUCGUCGCUCUGACCGCAUCUCGGGCAGGUCGGCCCCGUGUUUCUCGAGCCGUGUCUGUAGAGCUUAUCCCGAACGGGUUGCGCUUCUCGGUAGCACUGCCAGGCCAGGGAUCUCUGGAAGUUGUCCAUGGGCCCUGGUCCGAAAGUCGUCCUGAACAGGCGGGUCAGGUACUCCUCGUCGACGUCCAGGUUCGCCCCGAGCUCGUCGUCGUACCUCCCCUCCACUAAACCCCUAUAGAAUGCUUUGGUUGUGUUGAAGUCACUCAAGGUCGACCCAGGACGGCACAGUUGCUUGAGAGCAACGCGACACUCGCGGUGCCAUUCGCCCUUCCUCGGCCUCAGACAGAUAGAUAGAUAGAUGUUUAUGUGGAAAUGUUGCUAUGAGAAAGUGAUACCUUGAGUCUGAGAAAACUUUGGUGACCGUUACAUCCUUACUCAAGACGGGGCUCCGGCCCAUAAUCCAAUUUGACAUAGAGGUGGUACAAAACAAUAUAGCCUUCUUCAAGUCCAGACAUCAAUUCCAUGGACUUUGCUAUCCAGUCCAUCUCAGAAAGUAAUGUUUCUGCUCGCUCCAAUUCAAAUGUGUCAAAACUGAGGAAAGUCCUUCUGCUUCGUGGAUCAAGUUGGAUGAAGAGGUGAUACGGCGCUCAUGCAAUUCAUCGUCUGCAAAAAACAUGCUUGCAGGCUAUGACCAAUGCGAAAUGUAGUUAUUUUGAAAUGUUAUUACUGAAAUGAAUUGACAAUUUACAAUAGAAACUGUGUGCAAAGUUUCAUUAUCCUACCUUAAUUUUAUUUUGAAUAAUUAAGAAAUAUCAAUGAGUUAUUCUUUCCGAGACAACCUGUAUUUGUAUAUAUCUAUGUGUAUAUAUACAUAUGUAAAUAUCUAUGUCUAUGUGUCUUUCUGUCUGUUUUUAUCGUCCCAUCACUGCUUGACAACUGUUGUUGGUAUGCUUACGCCCUGCAAUUAGCAGUUAGACAAAAGACACCGAUAGAUUAAGUACGAGCCUUAACAAAUGUGUAACGAGGUCGAUUCAUUCGACUAAAAUAGACCCUUCAGGGUGGUACUAAAACAUCACAGCAGUCGAAUGACAAAGAACAAAAUAGCAUAUAUGUAUGGCUGUGUAGUAAGAAAGUUGCUUCCCAACCGCAUGGUUCCGGGUCCUGCCCCCAAUGCGUGGCACCUUGGAGAGGUGUCUUCUACUAUAGCCUCGAGCCGACCAAAGCCUUCUCAGUGGAACUUGUAGACGGAAACUGAAAGAAGCUCGACGUAUAUAUAUAUAUAUAUAUAUAUAUAUAUAUAUAUAUAUAUAUAUGUGCGUGUGUGUGUGUGUAUGUAGGUAUAUAUAUAUAUCUUAAAGGAGCACUCAGUCGGUUACGACGACGACAACAACGAGGGUCUCAGCUGAUACGAUCAACAGAAGAGCUUGCUCGUGAAAUUUACAUGCAAGUGGCUGAGCAGUCCACAGACACAUGUACCCUUAACGUAUUUCUCCGGGAGACUCGACGUGACACAGAGUGUGACAAGGCUGGCCUUUUGAGAUACAUGUACUACUCAUUUUUGCCAGCUGAGGGGACUGAAGCAACAUCAAAUAAAGUGUUUUGCUCAAGGACACAACGUGUCGCCGGGAAUUGAACUCACGACCUUACGAUCGUGAACCUGAUGCCCUAACCAGUAAGUCACGCGCCUUCGCAUAAAUAUAUAUAUACAUACUUAUAUAUAUACAUACUUAUAUAUAUAUAUAUAUAUAUAUAUAUAUAUAUAUAUAUAUAUAUAUAUAUAUAUAUAUAGGAUAUUCCUAAAUCUCUCAACGAGAGAUAUUCAGUAACAACAUUUUAAAGUAACGAUUGUGCUACGAACCUAACAUGGCAGUCCCAUUUUCGGAUGAAUGCUACUGUUGUUUAACCCCAGGAGACAUCGUCUCCAGCUGGCUAUACGGCACAUGAUUUGUGUUCUUAUAUUGUUGACAGAGAAAGUUAGCACCCCCACCCAGCACAAAGCAGUAUCUGUGGACUGUAGUGCUUCAGAGUUAUUUCUCUACCUCGGCACAGAAUAAAUCUUCGGCUGAGAUGGUGCUGCUAAACACCCGUUCGAUGGGGUCCACCGGAUAAAAAUCGCUUUUGACCCUUCCCAAUCGACCGCUAGCAAUACCCUUAUAUUUAAGAGCCUGGGUCCGCUAUCCCCCAGUCCCCGUUGGAUGGUAUCUUCAAUCCAACCCGCUCCUGUGCCUGGGGGUAACCCACAUACCCAGGCUCUUAUUAAUUUCCUCCCGCAGUUUGACGGUUGGAACAGAAUUUCGUUACCCUCCAAGGGACGACUUGCAAAACUGCGACCUUUUCCCGGUUAUUAAACAGCUACUAUACGAUUGCAUGUUUGACACAGCGGGAUAUGUAUUUCACAGAGGACAAAUAGUCUUUCAGUUAAUUUUCUAUAACUGGUUUUGGGAAAGCGGUGAUGGAAUCAAAAACUUUAGAAUAAGUUCUAACCACCAUCGACCUCUCCUCCAUAUCUUUUAACCACUGCUUCGGUGGGACAAUCUCCCACACAACAAUCUUAUCCGUAUUUUUUUUGCCAUGUCCAAAACAAUAGGUCACAAAACAGGAAGGAGAGAAUUCAAAAGAAAACAAAAGGGAAGAAGAAAUAAAUAAAAAGCAAACAGUUAAAUAAAAAGUCACAAUAGAAGAAGAAAACAAUGGCUCAAAAAAUGAAAACAAAGCAAAAAAUCUUCUCGGCAUUCAUGUACUCCACGCCCUUAUGGCACUCUAAUUCGAGCCUGGACUGCUCCACUGUAAUACAGCUUUCCAAUGUCGUCGUAAAAUACACACUAUUUAAAAACGGCGAACGACUUUCGGUGGCAGGAUAGUCACCAAACUAUGUUUCUCACAAUGAGAAUAAAAUUUUCACUUCAUGUGAACACUUGAAAUACAGUUUUCCAAUAAUGGUAAAUGUUGCUGUUGUAAAAACAAAGUAUUUGAAGGAUACGCUCACCAGACAAUGAGAAAAAAAUCUUCAUUUAAUAUGGGCCAUAUUGGUGAACCUCUAGUAGACUAAUAUCCUGAAUUCAGUGAGGAUUCCCUGUUUGUAAAAUAUAUACGCACAGACAACGACCCUCACCGGGUCCAAGGGAAAAGCCUUCCUUUGCAGCAGCUUCUUUUGGCAGGCUAAACACAGCCGGCUAUCUUCUUCAGUGCACAACAGAAUGGCGCAUGCGCAUACUGACAACAAAGACUCAUGGGAAGUCUUAAAGACUCGUGGGAGGCAAGCUUCUCACCACACAGCCACUCCCGCGCCUAGUGAGAAAUUGCAAAAAUACAAAAGAUAAAAAUGGGUGUGUAAACAACAAACAGAUGUAUUAGCCUAACGCUCGGGAAGUGAGAAAGUAUUUUACGUUUCGAGCCUAAGCUCUUCGACUGAGAGGAACAAAGAAAUAAUCAGGGAGAGAAAACAGAAAAGGUUUAGUGGCUAGUGAUCUAUCAUGGCGAAUGCCGGACAGAGAGCCAACGCAGGAGAGCCAGGAGGAACGAGAGAUAAUAAAGUAGUGGUGAUCCCAAAAGGAAGGUGUGCGAUCGUGUGUAUGUGAGAGCUUGUAUGUGCGUGUGGAAGGAUUCUGGUGACGUUGACGUGUGCUUGUAUGCAUGUGUAAAUGUGUAGAUGAUGGUGUAGGUGCUGGGAAGAGGUCAGUGCUAGUGUGGGCGCUGGUGUUGGUGCUGGGAAGGGGUCUGUGCUAGUGGGCGCGGAAUGGUGUGAUGUGACGUGGAGUGGUAUGGUGAUGUGUGGUGUGGUGGUGUGUGGUGGUAUGGUUUGGUGCAGUGGUGUGUGAUUUGAUGUGGUGGUCUUCGGGUGUGAAAGAAGCAAGGACGGGGUCUAAGGGAUAGGGUGGGGUCAGAUGGGAUGUAUAGGGAUGGUGUUGUUGGAAGAGUAGGGGUGGGGUAACGAGGGAUGGGGUAUCAAUGAAAGUAGAGGGUGGAAAGGAGUGAGUGGGUAGGAGUGAAGAGAGAAAGUAGGUGUCAGAGCAAGAGAGGAGAGGUAGAUGGGAAGAAGUAGGUGUGAGAGGAAGAGAGGACAGAAGGGGAAGGUUAAAUGAAGAGGGGAUGAGAGUUGAGUCCAUGUGGCGCAAAGGAGAGAAGCGAGAAGUUUAAUCCCAGCUCACGGCGAAGACGGGAGUCUAGAUGUCCCCUGUGCAAGUACAAUUCGAAAACAGACACGUGUUCUAAAGAGAGACUAGUAAAGCGGGAAUGGCGCGAGACCGGAGUGUCGUUGCUGAGUGUGACGUCUUGGGGGUGUUCUGCGAACGAGUCAGCCAAUCUGCGUCCCGUUUGACCGAUGUAUAGAGAAGGACAGAGAGAGCAGGUGAUGCAGCAGAUGACGUUGUAAGAAGUGCAAGUGAAGGAGUCAGUGAUAUGAUGGGGUCGAUGAUGGGUACCUGUGAGGAGGGGUAGUGUAUAUAUAUAUAUAUAUAUAUAUAUAUAUAUAUAUAUAUAUACAUAUAUAUAUGUAUGUAUGUAUAUAUAUUUAUAUAUACAUAUAUAUACAUAUAUAAAUGUAUAUACAUAUAUAUAUAUACAUAUAUGCAUACACACACACACACACACACACACAUAUAUAUAUAUAUAUAUAUAUAUAUAUAUAUAUAUAUAUAUAUGCGUGACAGUGUGCAUGCACGCAUGAAUCUCUCUUGAACACAUAUCCUCGACAUUGCGAGCACUAAAUAACAAGAAUUACAUUUACCAUGCAAGAGCUACCCAAAUAUUUCAGGUUUCAAUAACUACUACACACCUCCAAGAACAAAGGUAUGACCCAUACCAAAAUAUUACUCCAACAUAUCUCUUCUGCUAUUGCAUAUGAAUAUUCUAGACCGCAUUAAGUAAAAUAGGGUAAGGUCAUAUAAUUUAUGCCUCCGAAUACUAUCCUUCCAACCAGUCGUAGAAUUGCAUAGACCCCACUCGGAAAUGUCUAGUCUUUUGUUUCCCACACUCACUCAUACACUCUCUAGCCGAUCGUUUAUCCAUCAGCUGCAAUUUUACAUAAUAUAUCACCGAGGUCUUGAUCUAACGCCUUCAUUUAGUUAAUGUUCCUCAGAACGAAUUCGUUUGAAAUUCCCAGUCACAUAUUCAAUCUGAACCAGUCAAUAUUUCAAAAUGAGAGCUCUUUGAAUGACUAUGAAAGCUAGAGAAAGACUAUAUGUCCAGGAAAUUCAACACAGAUACAUAUCAGCACAAACACUCCAGCACACACACAAAUAUCUUGAAAGAUUGAUGGAGAGAUAGUUAGAUAUAUGGAAAGGUAGAUAGAUAUAUCGAUAGAUCGAUCGAUAGAUAGAUAGAUAGAUAGAUAGAUAGAUAGAUAGAUAGAUAGAUAGAUAGAUAGAUAGAUAGACAGACAUACAUGAAUACAUACAUACAUGCAUACAUACAUACAAACUUACAUAUAUGCAUAUAUAAGUACAUACCUACCAACAUAAACACGUCUAUUGUUUUGUGUGUGUGUGUAUGUGUGUGUAUGUAUGUGUGUGUGUGUAUGUGUGUGUGUGUGUGUGUGUGUCUAUAAAGUGUGGUCGGGCUACGUUUGACAGUUUGCAUAAAUGGAAAUUAAAAAGGAAUAAUAUUCCUUCCAAAAUUAAAAGCAUUUAAAAACAAUAUGAACUAUAUUAUGGCUAAGAGUUAAAAGUUUACUCAAAGUUGCCGCAUAUAACUUCCACGCCGACUCUCAAGAUGUCUCCAGAACUUGACACAUAAAUUCCUCACUGUGUCUGUUAGAAAAUCUUCGAACACCUCUUUGAUCAUUGGCGCCAGCUCGGCCUUGAUGUUACAGACAGAGUGGUUAGUGUAGUUUUGCAUCUUGUACAUUGUAAUCUAUAGCAUUAAAAUCGUGGGAAAUAAUAGACCAAAAAUUGGAGCUGAUGACGUCGUAGAAAUGCUGUGACAAGCACUUCUUACUCUCCUGCUACGCAUAUGGCCUUCCAGCAGCAACAUUCUCCAGCCAGGAAUUAACUGCAAUCUUCCCAUAGCGGUCUGAAUAGGGGUAUAUGGCAUAGUGGUUAAGAGCGCGGGCUACUAACCCUAAGAUACCUAGUUCGAUUCAAAGCAGUGACCUGAAUAAUAUUAAUAAUAAUAAUAAUAAUAAUAAUAAUAAUAAUAAUAACUGCUCUGAUGCAGUAUCAGACAGUGGUUCACAUGGCUCCUGGUCUUAACUGAUUGGAAGUGCUAUCAUGUACAUUGUUUUGUCUUGGUAUAAAAGGUGGGCUACAGCAAAUAUUCUGCUCAUUACCAUAGAUUUGCUUGUCAGUUGUUUGACCUUAACCAGUUGACCACGUCCCUUAGUGGCUGACGAUAUGUGCAUCUCUGAUCACAAGCAGAAGUAGUGGGGGAGCAUCAUAGCCGUGUGUUUAAAGGAAUUCUUAGAGUUUUGGAUACAUCCUUAAACAAUCCUUAUUCAGGGUCCUUUUGAGUGGGGUGGGUUACUCGACCAGAAGGAAAUUCUAACUGGGCCCCACCUGCAAGGACAUGCGCUGUUUAUCUUGAUAUGAGAUCACCAUGUCGUGCACAAAUGAUUAUGAUGCAUGUGCCUGGUGUACCAUUAUCAGACAUUUAGUCAUGGUGGGUAUACUGGGCUUCGUAUAUUUUGACCCAGUGUCACUUCGAUGGCAUGCACUGCAUCUCACUCAAUAAUAAUGAUGAUCAUAAACAUCGAAAAUACCUCAGGAAUGAGAACCCAUGUUCGAAAUUUCCCCAAGACACCUGAUGAAUGCCGGAGGGUACAUCAGCGGAAAAGUUGUGUAAACAACAAAGAAAAUGAGGACAAAUCUAAAUAAUGUAUGUAUGUAUGUAUGUAUGUAUGUAUGUAUGUAUGUAUGUAUGUAUGUAUGUAUGUAUGUAUGUAUGUAGAGUAAUGAUAUACGGCUUAAUUUGUUCACAGAGGCCACUCGUAAAGCGAAAUGUCGUAAAACAGAGCGAUAGUUUCACAUAGUAGUAAUGCUGUAAAUUUUAAUUCGUUCCCAGAAAAAGUAUUUUACUUAUAUAAUACUCAUAAAUAAAUGGCAAUAAAGGAACAGUACAAUGUAAAGAAUAGUUUAUGUAAAGUAAAAAAGAUUGCCAAGAUCAUUGAUAAUAAAAAAAAUAUAUUAUUAUUAUAAUCGUUUUCUGAAUUACUUUCACUCGCAUUAAACUCAUGCGCACUAUUACUUGUAGACACGACCACCAAUUGACAAACACUCGAGGACGGACCUGUAGCUUUCUUUUUAUAAAACAAGUCAAGGGUUGCGUGCUUAGAAGAAGCAUUUUUUUGCUCAAUAAAUUUAUCGGUAACACGCAAAAGCAUUUGUUAUGGUAGUAGAAGCUGUUGCAUUUCAUUCAAAGUCUAGAUCUUGUGCUGGAGAAAUAAAGCUCGUGAACCCUGGGUCCCGUAAAGCGGGUCCUCUUAAAGUGAGGUAUUACUGUAUGUAUGUAUGUAUGUUUGUAUGUAUGUAUAUAUAUGUACCCGUAUGCACACGCAAACACACACACACAUAGUCGUGAUUGAAUGAGUAAGAAGUUUGCUUCACAGUCAUGUUAUGUGCUCCUGGGUUCGACUCCAUCAAGUGACAUCAUUACAUCUCUUUACAGUAGCCAUUUGUAGCCAUAUGACUUGUGCGUGGAAGGCAGGAAUUGUAUAGAAGACUGUCAAAUGACCAGUACCCGUAAUAAAUAAUCCAGUCUUGUAACACACUUACAUCGCACUUGUUCCGCUCAAGAAUUAAGAACUGAUAGAAGACGCAGGCAUAUAUAGACACAUCCAUACAUCGAAAAUAACUGGAAAGCCCAUCAUAUUAUCGCACUCGCUCAAUUUAAAUUUGAAAAACUUAGACUCUCUGAAUGACACAUAAAUAUGAAUGCAAAUCCUUAGCAAACACGCAAGUACAAACACAAACACAUUCACGCACGCACCCCUCCCCCCCACCAUACACAUGUAUAUAUGAUGAUCACGUAUGUGUGUGCGCGCGCGCGUAUCUGUUAUUUGAUCUAGUCAUUGGCUACGGCCAUGGUGGGUCACCACCAUUAAGAGUUUACUCUAAUAAAUCAACGCCUCUACUCAUUUCUCACAUGGAUAUUUAUUCUAUUGGACCUAUGUAUCGAACUGCUACGUUACGAGAAGGUAAACAAUCUAACAAUUACGUAAAUCCGAGAAAUUCAUGCGUUUUUUCCUAGGACAUUCUCUUCAUUACUAAUACGUGGAUUCCGGUUCACGCUUAUUUUAUAUUGCUUCGUUUCUUAUUUCAUAUGCUUUUUUCGUAACUUACCCACCCAUUAUAUAACCAUUAUUUAAAAUCUUGCUCUUUCGAUUUGAAGGCUGCUCUGCGCUUAUUCGCAUGAGAAGAACUUGAUUCCUGUUUAUACUUGUAUCUUAAGUUAUGUUUCUCAACAUUUUGUAAACCAAAAUAAUUUUACUACAUAAGAGGCCGUUACAUACUCCUAAUUACACAACCAAUUCUUUUAAAUUGAGUCUUCAUAAGGAAAUCAUCAACACCUAAAAUGUUACAUUUAUUGGAAAGAUCAAUAUCACAAACUCUAUCCAACCUCGUGUAUCUGAUACCUGGUCUUCUUAUGCAUUCUGCAAAUAGUAAAUUGGACAAUAUUACAGUGUAUGAGAAAACUGCAAGAAGAUCUACAAAGUAAUGUAGAAGGGAUGAUAUUUCAAGUGGAUCAUACAAAUAGUCUAGGGUUCAGAUUCUUUCGAUUCAGGCACGAUGGAGCUAUUUUUGUUCUUAUCAUUCAAGGAACCAUUACCUCUACUACUUAAAGAGGGAGACAUUAAAUAUAUCUUAAAUAAUGCUUAGCAACAUUUAUAGGAUUUGUUGGGAAUAUAAUGGAAGGUGUGCUGAGUUUUAGCCUUUUUCCUUACUUAAGACUCAUCGUAGGCUGGUGAACUAAUUCUGUUGUGUGCAAGCUUGUGAUUAAUCCAAAUAUUUUAGCAGCAUGUAAACACGCUCAGCGAUCACAUGAAUUUAUUCAAAAGAUGUUAUUGCUAGUACACAUCAUCAAAUAGUAUGUCAAAAAUUCUUUAUUCAUUGUUUUCGCUUUGCAUCUCUCACUAGUGAUUAAACAAGCCCCCACUAGUAUCAAAUACACAUACACGCCCCUCAUGAAAUCCUUAAAAAUCAGGUAUAACAUAGUCCAAGACAUAGACCUGUUUAUUACCAUUACCGUUGCUGAAAGAUUUAUAGGGUUCUCCCAUCUGAGAUACCUACAACUUCCCAACCCGCAUGAGAGUAUAGUACAGCAUUUAAUAUGUUAUGAGAUACUAAAGUUUUCUUUAGUUCGUUCUAUAAGAUCACUUGGUUUACAUAUCGAAUAUCAGCAAAAACAAUUCUCAGUAUCUGAUUUCUUCUAGUACAUUUUGUGCAAUCUGUCUCAAAGAUUAUAUCAUAUAUCGAUUGUCUUCAUACAGAUCAAAAACAAUACAGAAAUAUUUUCUACUAUAUGAAUACUCAUUCGCUGUAUUAUAAAACAAAACAAGAUGUUACCGGUGCGUUGAUCAUAUUACCGAAAAAUGUUGAGUUACAAAUUCAGUUUCUUGCUACUAUAUUUUUAAACUUUAGGUGAUAAAUCAUCUUGACCAGAAUUUUCGGGCAACAGUUGCUUUGACCUAUAUGAACUUCAUUAACAUUAAUUUUAUAUGCAAAUUAAGCCAUAUGUGGCAUUUGUGGACUGAUGAAAGAACCCUUGUAACUUAAUAUUCAUAAUCAUUUCAAAGUGCUUCUUCCGUCCAUAUAAAAUGUAAUUUUUUAUUCAGAUAUUUUUGUAUAAUCAUAAGGAGAUAAACUACACUUUUGUGGUCCAUUUUCUGACCUUCAAAGAGCCUUAAAUAUGUUUCCAGUCAGCAACGAGUUAAUUCUUUCAAAUCAGCCACGGAUUGAAUUUCAGACUAGGUUGAUUUUUCUCCCAUGUGUUUAAAGACACUGUAUUGAUCUAUUUAACUCAAAAUAACCUUUUAGUAUUGGUAUUAUUUUUCUCAUAUAUCCCAUACUUCUAUGCAAUAUACAAUUUAUCUAAAAGAGAUCUAACUUCAAAUUUGUUCUGUUCCUACUAUCUUGGUGCUAAUUCUGGUCAAUCCAAGAUUUUUCAAAGGAAACUGAGUCUGUUAUUUCUUUGAGACACACGCAAGAUAUUUCAACAUAGUUUGUAGUAUUUACUUUCAACAAAAUUGCAUAUGAUUUAUCUCGGAUCAUUGAUAUUUUGAUGUUGUUAUUUUCCCCGAAAUUCUAAAAGAUAUAUUUACUGCGCAACAAUGAAUGAUCUGAUAGCCAACAAAUGAUCUGGAAUGAACGUGUGAAAAGAACAUUAAUUUUAUCUCAUUCUACAAUGAUUAUUUAAUAAGCUAAAUACCAGUACUUUGACCGAAGAAACAUCUAAAGUGUCUUAUGGUUAUUCGGUCCUGGAGCUUUAAGUCCAUUACAGAAGGCGUACAGAAGCAGUCCAUUGCAUUUCAUAUUGCCUACACUGCUUACUAAUAACACGAUGUCUCUCAAAACCAAUUAGCAAAAUCGGAAACGAACGUAAUGUUAAAGUUACCACAUGGUAGGAUCUUGUUGUUAUGGGAUUUUUCAUAUGCUAUGAAGUAAUAUACCAUACCAGACAUCAUUGUUGAAUUCAUUUAUAUGACAGCGUCAGAAAACAGCAGCUAAUUAUGUAAACUGAGCUUUCCUCAUUUCCAUAUACUGUAAAGUGUUUUAAUAAAAUAAUUUUCACCUUGGACAACUGAUGAUAGUUGUUGAACUGCAGUAGUUUGUGUUACAAUACAAAGUCCAUAUAACACUCUUGCAUAUCAAAUACACAAUUUUCUUCUACGCCUUUUACUUGAGCAACAAUAUAUAUAGUGCUGCAAAGAUAUCAAACAUUCGAAAGGACAACGUAGAAUAGAAAAUGUUUGGAAAGUAUUAGGUUAGCCUGUCAAUGAAAAGAGACAGACAGGCAGACAGAAACAUAGAGAAAGGGAGACAGAUAGACAAACAGAUAGACAGAGACAUAGAAAGAGAGACAGACAGGCGCACAGACAGAAUAGGUAAGAACAUUUUAGACUUAAUUUCUGUCAUCAAGUCAGAAGCAUAGUGUGAGUGAGAAAAAGAACCAGCCAAGGCAUCGAAGGUAGAACAAAGAGGAAACGAAACAGGAGGAAGGCUUUUCGUUUUAUACAAUGACUUUCAGUUUACUCACACAACUUUCCCUUUAUUCACACCUUAUCAAUCACUAUUGUAUGUUUCUCGUGGUUUAACGGCCGAACAUUCAUGAAAUACAUACUUCAUUAAACGUUUAAACUAUUAUCAUAUCUAUUUAUUUAUCUAUCUAUCUAGUUAUCUACUAUAUAUAUAUAUAUAUAUAUAUAUAUAUAUAUAUAUAUGUGUGUGUGUGUGUGUGUGUGUGUGUGUACGUUUGAAUAUAAUUAUGUAUGUGUAUAUAUAUAUAUAUAUAUAUAUAUAUAUAUUCAAAUGUACAUCAAGGCAUCUGCGGCUAUUAGUUUAUGGACAGAAAUAAUCCACCAUACUAGUCAUUAGUCCAGAUGUUGUGUCAUUUAAUUAGCAAUAAUUUAAUAAGGUCCUUAGGAUUGUAACAUAUGUUGGAAAUCGACCACCUACACUGUCCCUACCAACGUCACCUAGGUUAAUUAACCAUUCAAGACGACUGUUAAUUAGGUAUAUUGAAAUACACAUUACAGAUUUUCAUUGUGCAGCUAAAUAUCACGUCUGGAAAACGAGAUAUAAUAGCACAUAAUUAUAGAAGGCAUAUGUAAAUAAGUUUUGAUGUAUGUCUUUAUACACAGACGCGCGCGCGUAUAACAUAUGUAUGUAUGUAUGCAUGUAUGUAUGUAUGUAUGUAUGUAUGUAUGUAUGUAUGUAUGUAUGUAUGUAUGCAUGUAUGUAUGUAUGUAUGUAUGUAUGUAUGUAUGUAUGUAUGUAUGUAUGUAUGCGAGUGGGCGGCUAAAAAAGUCCAUGGGCUGACCAAGAUACUCUCAUGGUAUGUGGGCAAGUGAAAUUUAUUUUUCAAAAUAUUCACCCUUGCGGUCCACACACGUUUUCCAUCGGAGUCGCAAUGUUUGUGUUCCUUUGGUGAAGAAGCUUUUAUCGUGUUGAUCAAAAAAGUUAGCAACAGCAAAUAUGGUAUCACCACCAUUGUUCUUAUCUAAUUUUGUGUCUGUGCGUGAUAGAAUUCAAGAGCUGUUCAGCGGGAUUGAUGGGCGUAAUAAUGAAUAGACAGUCUCCAGUUGCAUUGUAGAUAUUAUUGAUGAACUAAGACGCUCCCUAUUUACUGUUGUAGAUUUUUACCGUUGAAAAUGUGUAGUAUUUAUAUGUGUGAACUCAGUGGUAUUGAAUAAUAUCGAUGUUAAUGAACUCUGACGUUUAUAAGGAAUACUGACGUAUAUAAGGGAUACUUGCCAAACAUAACUUGGCAAGUUUUUCCUUCUCGACCAAGACUAGUUUCGCUUCCCAGUAAUGAUCGCUGCUACUAGCCGCCCACCCGCCCUCAACCGGUGAAUGCUGAGUUGUUUGAACUAAAUUAAUCCAAAUUCACUGCAUAAUAAUUGAAUCCGAAUCACACCUAUUCACGCAAUUGGUGCUAACGUUAAAUAUCAGGUAAGAGAUGAGUUGGACUAUCGCACUUAUAUCUGGUCCUGUGCUACUUUUUCAUACGCGUACAUGCUAGACUUCAUCGGCAGAGUGACAUUAAGUUACUCACACACACGCUGCAGCCUUUGGUCAAAAGAUAGAAAAUAUUUAAAAUAUAUUGUUGUUGGUGUUUUUUAAACACAUUAGCCGUUUUCAAAGAUAUAAGACGAGCUUCUAUCAGUUUCCUAUUUCUUUAUUGCUAAGGCUAAACAUAGAGGGGAAAAACAAUGACAGAAAAAUGGAUUAAUUCGAUUGCAUCGACCCCAGUGCGUAACUGGUACUUAAUUUAUCGACCACGAAAGGAUGAAAGGCAAAGUCAGAACGUAAAGACAGACGAAAUACCACUGAGUAUUUCACCCGGCGUGCUAACGUUUCUGCCAGCUCGCUGCGUUUUAGUUCUAUCAGUUUCCAUCUAUUAAAUCCACUCCACUCACUUUGGUCGACCCGGGGCUAAAGUAGAAGAUACUGAACCCCAAAACCAUGUGGCUGGGAAGCAAGCUUCUUACCACACAGGCACGCCUGCGCAUAUGAAUAUUUUUCUUUGAGAUUUAGAAUAUCUAUCACUUAAAUAUUGAGUGUUGUUUUUUUUUUUAACUGAGAUUUGGGGAAAAUUUGUCAUCCAGUUCAAUUCAAGCGAUCUCUAUAAUACGUAAAUAAAACACAUUCUUCGAAACCUGAUGGAUGAUUCGCUGUAGCUGGUUAUAUCUCGUUGAAUUAUGCUUGUUACUCUUAGUUGAUUGAUGUCUCUUUCUUACCUGUUACAUUCACAUAUGCUAAUUCGCUUCGAUACACGUAUUAUGUUCAUUGCACGCAUUUCUGCCAGCUCUGUGAAAUGAACAGCGCUUGGUCAACCUUUUCUUGUCAACUCCGAAUUCGGAACUAUUAUGAAUUCAAUGAAUUGUAAAAUGGCAAACGAUAAACAGGAGAAACUGAUGCAGCUGCAGUAGCUGCUAACUUAUACAGCGAUACUGUCGUGAUCAAAGCCUUUUCAGACAACUGAAGCUAACAUUUAAACAAUCAAAGUGUGAAGCAAUGAUUUUAUCAUGGAAAAGCAACCCAGCAAACUGCCUAUGGAAAAGAAGCUACAGAAUAUAGGCGAAAAUAUAUAUAUAUAUAUAUUAUGCUGAAUAAUUUGGCAUCAUUCUUCAUGUUUGUUGAAAUUUCAUGAAAUAUUCCGCCCAUAUAUUAUGCAUAUAUAUAUAUAUAUACAGAGAGAGAGAAAGAGAGAAAGAGAGAGAGAGAGAGAGAGAGAGAGAGAGAGAGAGAGACAGACAGACAGACAGAGUGUAAGCCUGUAAGUAUAUCUACCAAUUUUUCUUAUUUGAUUGUGCAUCUGUUUGUGAGCGCUUGUAUGUCCAUAGAGAGGGACGCACACAAAGGAAAUAUAUAUAUAUAUAUAUAUAUAUAUAUAUAUAUAUAUAUAUAGAUAGAUAGAUAGAUAGAUAGAUAGAUAAAUAGAUAGAUAGAUAGAUAGAUAGAUAGAUAGAUAGAUAGAUAUAUAGAUAGAUAGAUAGAUAGAUAGAUAGAUGGAUAGAUGGAUAGAUAGGUAGAUGUAUAGAUACAUACAUGCAUACGUACGUACAUACAUGCAUAUGUACAUACAUACAUACAUACAUACUUAAAUGGAUGGGUGGAUUGAUGUAUGAGUACGAAAUUAAGUGCUGUGGUCGAUAGAAUUCACGGAAAUCUCUUAAAUGAGACGCGAAAGCUGCUUCGUGUCCAUAUGAUGAAUAAAAACUGAAUAAGAAUGAAAAAAUUAGUUAACACCUUAAUGUAAACCGACACAUGUGUUAAUAAAUACAAUAAAACGUUUCUUGUCAUCUAUGAAACAAACAAAAAAUCCAAGGGCGGGAUUCAAGAACGUAAAACAAUGUUGAGGUCAUUGCUUUUUUUAUGGUAAUGGGGUAGCAUAAUUCUUCUCAAUGCUCGCGAUAUAUUUCACCAUUGAUGUAAACUUAAAGCUAUGAAAAAGCAAGUAAUUCUGUAAACACAGUGUUUUAUGCAUCACGACUUGUUGGUAUAUAGACAUGGUGGAAGGAAUAUGACUGAAUGGAUAGAAGGACGUACAUAGAGCGCCAACUGUCAUUUGCGAGCGAGUAUCGAUUGCUAAAAACAUACCGUGCCUUCUCUAGCUGUUUCAGGUACCUGUGUAGUUUCAAAAACACAUAGACAGACUUUCGAUCCUCCAGCCACUUGAACCAGGGGUAUAUGCAGGAUGAGACAAGUGACAGGAGAGACAGGUGAACAAGAAGUUGGUUGGUACUCAUUUUCAGCUGAGCAGACGACAGCAAUAUGAAUUGAAGUGCCUUAAUGAAGGGCACAUCGCGCUGGCCGAUGCAGGAAUUGAGUCCAUGACAUUUUGAUCAUGUGAGGAUUAGCCCAGCGAGUAGGCUACGUGCCUUUCAAGACACAUGUGCACACACAUACAGACACAGAAACACAUAUAUACAUAUAUACAUAUAUACAUACAUACAUACAUACACAUACAUACAUACAUACAUACAUACAUACAUACAUACAUACAUACAUACAUACAUACAUACAUAUAUAUAUAUAUAUAUAUAUAAGUGGAGGGAGACAGACACGCACACGUAGGCAGUCACGUACACACACGCUAUUAUAUGUGCAUGUUUAUGUGUGUGUCAUUGUAUAUGUUUGUCCACCUCCACUACCACCACUACCAUUUGUCGACCUCUUUUGGAGUGUUUACGUUUUCAUGACGUAGCAGUUCGGCAAAAUAGCCAGAUACGGUAAUUACCAGACUUAGAAGAAGAAUAAUUACUAGGGUCCAUUCGUUCGACUAAAAUUCUGCAUGGCGGUGCCGCUGCAUGGCUGCAUUCGAAUGACUAAACAACUAAUAGAUAAACAAUAUGUAUACAUAUAUAUAUAUAUAUAUAUAUAUAUAUAUAUAUAUAUAUAUAUAUAUAUAUAUAUAUAUAUAUAUAUAUAUAUAUAUAUAUAUAUAUAUAUUAAUAUAUACAUAGAGAGAGAGAAAGAGAGAGACAGAUAGACAAACAAACAGACUGACAUAGAUACAUAUAUAUACAUAUAUAUUACACACACACAAACACACACGCACACACACACGCACACAAAUCUGAGCCACAUAGGCGGCGAUGAGAUCAAGAGCCAGAACAAAUAGUGAACGUAAUUAUACCUGACACUAUAUCUAUUUCAAUUGUCCACCGCCCUAAACAUAGUAAGAUCACAUCUUUCACACAUUGACUUACAUAUAUUAUAAUGGAAUUUAUGUAUUUGUAUAUGUGUAUAUCUUUGCUUAAGUAAAUGUAUGCUUAAAAGUUAUGCACAGUAAAUUACUUACGCAUAACGAUGUAUUUAUGAAAUUUGUACUGCAAUAAUCAGAUCACGCUUUCAAUAGCAUUUGACCGAGUUUUCUUGUCAUAGAGAUGAGUCGAUGCAAAACUAUAUGUGAAUUUGUUCAGACAGAGUCUCUUAGGAAACAUUUUGCAUGGACUGUCCUAGUAAUUCCAACAUCUAGCUUUGUUAUACACUGUAUCGUUUCAAUUCUACUAAUGUAAUUGUAAUUACGUUAAGUUCACAAGUGUCUACGGAAAACGCAGCUAUUUACAUAUAAAUACAAUGAUUACAAACUUAUCUUUGAACAACUGGAAAACUCCUCCGCAAAACUAAUUUAAGUUCAUAGACCCUGUGUGUGCGUGGGUAUGUGUGUAUUAAUACACACACAUAUGUACAUAUUCGCAUUUAAACACACACAGCCAUAUAUACAUAUAUUUGAACAUAUACACAGACGUAACAGAAGUAAAUAGACAUGCUUAUAAUCACUAAAAUUUAUUUAAAUCUGAAAUUAUACAUUCAAAUUAUUCAUCAAUUGUUAUAAUGUGCAUAUUUACUAUUCAGUAGUCACGCUUUUACAUUUUUUCAUGCAAGGUCCCUCUUAGGUACAUUACUGAUCACAUGACGAAUAUUCUCUCGAGAAAUUUCUUGCCACGUUUCAUGCAGUAAUCUCAAAAGAUCUGGCUCUGAAAAUGCUUUCUGGUUCUUUAUAUGAAGUGCGCUGUCCAUUACGUUCCAGAGUUGUUCAGUAGGGUACAUAUCUGGUGACUGGAUUGAACAUGAAAGCUUUUAAUGCCAUUCUCAUUCAAAAAAUCUUGGUUUAUUUUAGCCGUGUGAGAAGGAGACCCAUCUUUCAUAAAUAGUCCUCUUUAAUCAUUUCACCACUAGAAAAGAUUGGAAGGAAUCCUUUCUGUAAUAUGAACACAUAUUUAUCGGAGUUUAAGUUUCCCUCACACUCCACCAGAUUUCAUCAACCAUUGCUCCAAAUUUCUCCCCAGACCAUCACAUAAUAGGUGACGUGUUUCAUUGUUGGCUACAAGCUUUUCACGUCAGAUUCUUGAUCAUAAAGUCUCCAGACCCACACUCGACCACUGUCAGGAAAUACAGCAAAUCUGGACUGAUCAGAGAAUAUGACAGUGUCCCAAAAUGAUAGUGGCCGCUUCACCUUUCCAAUAUUUUCUCCGUGGGAUGUUGGCUGGUCGAAGAAAUGGUAUCUCUUGUUUAUUGAUAUACCUAUCAGCUGUUCUAGGACUGACAUCAAUUUGUUCUGCUAUGUCAGAAGCCUUGCAACGAUUAUUGUCCUCCAUACUUCUCUUAGAAAACGUGAAGGGUCCUGUCAGAGGGCCCUGAUUGAUCCCCGCGAGGUGAUGUGGACUCUUUCCCAUGUCUGGUGAAUUGCACAAUCACUCUAACUGUAGAAAGCAGGAUCUGAAGGUUUUCUGCGGUUUUACGCUAUAUCCACCUUCAAAAUGACCCACAAUACGGCUUCUUUGAAAUUCAGACCGUUCCAAAGCUUCUUUUGCACAUGUCACAAUUAAACAGUCACAUAUAGAACCUGAAACAUAAAAAUGUCAAGUAAUAAAAACUAUAAACCUUUACAAGUUAGCAUAAACAUAAAACGAUGUUUUAUGUGGUGUCUAUUUACUUCUGUCGUGUCUGUCUAUAAACAUAUAUGACGUCACCAAACAAAGUAACGUAUCAUUAAUCUCUACCAUACCUUUCAGUACUCUCCUUUCCCAAAGUUAAUUUUAAAUGGAUGUUUGUACCCAUCACCUGCAUGUACACAGAUAUACAUGUGUGUGUAUGAGGGCGCAUGGCCUAGAGACUAGUGUAGUGUACUCACGAUCUUGACAUCGUGGUUUCAGUUCCUGACCGGAUGAUUUUUUUUUUUUUUUUUUGUUCUGCGGGCAGUUCGACACCUGAGGUGUGGUAUACCAAGCACCUACUCGGUCAGUGAAGAUUUGAUCUUAGGAGUACAGCACAUACAAUUGAUGACUGUAAACAAAAGACUUUUGUAGGUCGUUCAUAAAAAAAAAACUGAACACUCAUAUGUCGUCUUCGCCGAAUGACACAAUCAUAUAUAUGUACGUAUGUGUACACACACAUACACACACAUACACACACACACACACACACACACACAUAUAUAUACAUACAUACAUACAUACAUACAUACAUACAUACAUACACACAUACAUACAUACCUGUAUACACACAAACGCAUGUAUAUUUCAUGUAUGUAUGUAUGUGUGUAUGUAUGUAUGUAUGUAUGUAUGUGUGUAUGUAUGUAUGUAUGUAUGUAUGUAUGUAUGUAUGUAUGUAUACCCCCUCCACCCAAAAUGUCACAGGUUUCCGUUUACCUUCCAAUAUCGGAUCGCCCACUUCUUCAACUGUGAAACAGGUGCUCAAGUAAUUUCUAAAACAAUUCACUCCUUACUAUUUAUACUCUUAAAUUCACUUCAUCUAAGCUUCACUGCAACCGUUUCCCUCUCAAUUCCUGUCCCAGUACAAACUAUGUGUUCCUUUUCCAUCUCGUCUCUUUCUAUAUUCCUCACAUUGUAGAAUACUCCCCCAUAUACUACCCUACUCUGCCCUGUUAUAAUUUUCACAUACGCUAACUCUUUUCUUGCAUAGAGACUUCGGCUAUAGGUGAUCUGACACACCAACACACAUAAACAUGAACAUAGUCAUAUACACACAUACAUACAUACCUGUAUACACACAAACGCAUGUAUAUUUCAUGUAUGUAUGUAUGUGUGUAUGUAUGUAUGUAUGUAUGUAUGUGUGUAUGUAUGUAUGUAUGUUUGUAUGUAUGUAUGUAUGUAUGUAUGUAUGUAUACCCCCUCCACCCAAAAUGUCACAGGUUUCCGUUUAUCUUCCAAUAUCGGAUCGCCCACUUCUUACUUCAACUGUGAAACAGGUGCUCAACUAAUUUCUAAAACAAUUCACUCCUUACUGUUUAUACUCUUAAAUUCACUUCAUCUAAGCUUCACUGCAACCGUUGCCCUCUCAAUUCCUGUCCCAGUACAAACUAUGUGUUCCUUUUCCAUCUCGUCUCAUUCUAUAUUCCUCACAUAGUAGAAUACUCCCCCAUAUAUUGCCCUACUCUGCCCUAUUAUAAUUUUCACAUACGCUAACUCUUUUCUUGCAUAAAGACUUCGGCUAUAGGUGAUUUGACACACCAACACACAUAAACAUGAACAUAGUCAUAUACAUGGGGGGGGGGAUGCUUUGGGUAAAAGAAAAUACCGGAGCAUUAGUUAAUUAUGAUUUUACUCAACAUAUUCCCCUUUCAGAUUCACAUACUUAUUACUGCAGUUUUUCUAAGCCUUGCAAAAAAAGAAUUCGGAAGGCCUUUUGUGGUAUCCUUAAAGCCAGGAACUUUUUAGCAUCCUCUCGUAGCUUUUUCCAUCUGCCAUUUUAUCAAUGCGACAGGCUGGUACUUGGAUUUGCACAUAUUUCUCUUUGAGGCUCACAAGCAUGAACACAAAACUACAUUCACAUGCUGGCACUUCAAACACAUCUAUUUACUACUUCACCAAGUUUUGAUUCACAACUUACACCCACUCCGUUCUGCUCUCACUUCCUCCCACUUACUGGACUGCAUUGUAGUAGUUGACUCUUAACUAGCUACAUCUACUCACACUCUUAUUUAUUCUUCGGCUGCUUCUAUGCUUUUCACUUAGCUCUAUUCUAACAGAAAAUAAUACACUUUGUGAUACUUCAUCCGUUGGUCAUUUUCCAUCGUUCCAGUCAUCACCUGAGGUCGGUCUUAACUGUUUCGUUUUAUGUCUUCUUGGAUCUGCUUAUGGCUUUUACCAUCUAUGACUUUUUGCCAUCUCAAUUUUUUUGUUCUCUGCCUAACUUUCCCCAUAUCAAACUGUGAUUCAUUACCGUACACAUCUAAACCACCAGAUGCUUUUGGAUCCGGCACACACUCCAAAAAUACCGUUCGCAUUUCACACCGUUUGAAAUUAUUCCACACUUUCGUACAUUUCCUUGAUGGUUUCAGACAUGCACACGCACACGUAAACACACAUACACAUACACAUAAGCAGAUGCUUACACGUACACUUUCACACUUUCGACCGAUGAAUUACACACACACCUACUUUUUCACCAAACCCAACUUAUCCAGGCCACUGGAUUCACACAGAUCUGUACGCAUAUAUUCACACAACCAAAAAAACACCGAUAAACACCAUUCUUCUUGAUAAGAAACACAACACACACACACACAAACCGACACACACACCACAAACACACUCUCACACAAACACACACACACAAUCACGCACAUAUUUAAUGAACCCCACGUGAAACGGGAUUUUCCCUGACUAAUAAUAACCCUUUCUCUUCCUCCUAAGUCUUUCGUUUAAUUGUUUUUAUUUUCAGUUUUUCACAAGCUCCUUCCGUCACACCUUCUGUACCUAUAUAUACUCCUAAUUGCCUUUUAUUUCUGAAGAUGGACUAAUGUUCAAAACGCAUUUCAACUGUUAAAAUAAAGUAUUUGCCGUAUUUUGUUCUUUCUGUGUUGUUUGUCCAAGUGGUUUUGCAUGUGUGUGUGUGUGUUUGUGUGUGUGUAUGUGUGUGCGUGUAUGUGUGUGUGCUCACAUAUGUGUGCAUAUGUGGGGUAACUAUGCUUUCGGCCAGUCUUUUAGAAAUUACAAGUUUUAUUUCCAUUAUUUACAUUUUUUUCUUUUAUUCUCAGCUUAAUAUAUUUCUUGGAAUUUUUCAUAAUAUUCUUUCAUUGUUUCGUAAAAUGUUCGCCUAGUUCGUAACAUCAAAUCUCUUAAAUUCAUUAUCAGUGUUUCUAGAGCUUCGCAAUCUCAUCACUAGUAUGAAAAGAUGUUGGCAGACACUGCUACUUCUUUUUAAUUGGUUGUGUCGGCAUGUACGUUGUAAACGUUAACUUAGUACUUGAACAAUUUACGAUCAGAUUUAUACAACGUCUGUGAGAUAUGAACAGCUUAUACAUGACGAUUGUUUUCAGUAUUAUGACUAGUUUCCUUAUCUUUUAUCAACUGUUAUUUUACACAAACAAUUCAUUUACUUACAUCUAGAAACUGAUUGUCUACGUAAAUUCAAAUGGACAGCGUUGAAAUUCUUACUUAGAAAAACAGUUUUAUCUGCCACAACAUAACACCACCAAACAAAGAAGUCCACACAAUGAAACGGAUGUGAAUCAAAAAUCGGUUCAAUACAAUGGUGUUAUCAAAAUAGUUCAAACUGUGGAAUUAGAGCGAGGUGCACACGAGGCAGUACUAGCAAGCAUUGAUAUCUGAACCUACUUCAUUGUUUAAUUGAAGUGCAUAAAAUUUCGGUAUGAUUGUGUUAGUAACGUGAAAAAACUACCAGGAACUAAUUAGAGAAGAGGAAGAAAGUUUCAAAGAGUGCUAAUGUUACACAAACGUAUAAAUAUAAAUAUACUGUGUGUGUAUGUGCAUGUGUAUAUAUAUAUAUAUAUAUAUAAUGUAUGUAUAUAACUUUCACAUAGAUAUUGUCGACACAGUAGUAAUUAAUUUUAAUUAUUUAUUAAGAACUUGCAGGGCAAGUACCUCAUUUUUAAAUGAGUUCAGAUAUGUACUGUGAUGCACAGGCAUAUCUACUGAUUCUCACUCUCUCAGUAUCUAUCUAUCUAAAUGUAUGUAUACAUAUGUAUAUAUUUAUAUGUAUAUAUAUAUAUAUAUGUGUGUGUGUGUGUGUGUGUAUAUAUACAAAUAUAUAUGUAUAUAUAUAUAGACGCAUACAUGUGUAGAUACAUACAUACAUACAUACAUAUAUAUAUAUACAUACUAUAUAUAUAUAUAUAUAUAUAUAUAUAUAUAUAUAUAUAUAUAUAUACAGGGAUUGAACGAAAUAAUGGAAAAGCCUUAUUAAAUGUAAUAUAUUAAUAAAUACAGAGUUGGUCCACAUUUUCCAACAAACGCACUCUCAAUACAUCGAGUGUAGAUUUUGCCGGUACUGAACGGUUGUUAGAGAAAUAUUGAGCUGUUCCUCAAAUAAAACUUGUUUUAGCUCUUUCAGCGGCGACCAAUCCUCAAUACAUGUUCCAAAUUAUACCAUAAACGUUCGAUUAUAUUCUGAUCAGUUGAUUGGGGUAGGGGUGAUGGCCUCCAGCUGUUUACUUUAGCGCUCUUUGUAUUAAUGUUCAGCACCAUUUGUGUGAACUUGUGCAUUAUUAUUGUGAGCCAUUGUGGAACAAUAUUUGUAUUCUAAGAUGGAUAUGAUCAACCAAAAUACUCAGAAAUUCUUGGCAUUAACCUACUAUGUUCACCAGCUAAAGGGCUUAGAGAACUACGUGAUAUGACUAUAAAAAUCAUCACGGAGCCACAUCCAUGUUUCAUGGUGGUGAAUUCAGGAUUACAGAUGGCUACGGGAUGUCUCCAGAAUUAAACUCACCUCUAAAUGGGAAAAAAAAGGUGAAUUAAUAUUUAUCAGAAAUGACAUUGUUCCAAGAGCCCUUGAGAACAUUUGAUAUUCGAGACACUAUUUUCCCGUUUUACAAUGUUGAUGAGGAGCUCACAGCGAAGGUCCUUGGUUGAGGCAGGGUUAGCAUGGUGGUAUAUUAACUCUGCUACCACUUUAGCAAACCGCGACUCAUGGUUUUAAAUACAAUGUAUUUCAUUAUUCUGCCGUCCCGCUCAUUGACAUUUACACUCCGAGGAAAAUUAUUCGCGCCAGAGCUGAUUUUACCUAGGAUUAAGAAUGUUAGUCUAAUAUUAGGAGCUGUACCUCUAGAAAUAUUCAACAAUUAGGCAGUCAGUUUUAAUUGCUGAAACUUUAAUCUACGGGUUCCAACAAAUCAUCUUGUUUGGAAAACACGCGUUAUAGAAUAUUUAGAUAUAAGUCUGUGUAAAAGUAGAAAAAUCUUGUAAUGGAUUACGAUGAUUACAUAAUGCAUAUAAACACAUAUAGAGAGUAGAACAUUAUUUCAUCCAACUCCUGUAUAUAUACAUAUGCAUACAUACAUAGACACACACGCGUGCUUACAUACGCGUGCAUGCACACACACAAACACAUACAGACACAUACAUAUACAUACAUACGCAUAUAUAUGUGCGUAUAUAUAUAUAUAUAUAUAUGUAUAUAUAUGUGUGUGUACGUAUAUAUAUAUGUGUGUAUAUGUGUAUAGUCAAAACUAUUGAAAAGGUUGCAAGACGCAAUGAAAAUUUUAGGAAAAUAAAAAUAAGAAGAAAAGUGAAAAUUUUACCAGUGAGUUUGUUAUACUAUGAGACACAAAAAGAAAAUUACUAUCCCCAGACACAACAGUAUAUAUAUAUAUAUAUACAUAUAUAUAUAUAUAUAUAUAUAUAUAUAUAUAUAUACUCUAAAUAAUCAGAAAAUGAAGAAAACUUAAGAUCAACAAACAAACAAAUUGGACCACGUCUGUAGAUUAUUUUGUAAUACAAAACAAAGCCACAGAAAUGUUAUGUCAUGUUUGGUAUUAAAAAAAUAAUCUAUAGCUGUGGUCCAAUAUGUUUGUUGAUCCAAAGUUUUAUCCUUUUUCUGAUUAAAUUUUAUUCCUGAUAAACUUUUUUCUAUUCUGUAGUUAUCGGAAUCCUACGUGUAUAGUGUGCUUGCAUACCCAUGCCCAGGGAUAGCACAAUCAACUGGUACCGAUAGUAAAUACGGAUAUGUUAUCCUUUAGUCAGUUACUAUAACCGCUAACUCUGCAUACCUUGAUAUAUAUAUGACAAUUGCAGCGUGGAAGGUGCUUAUACGCCAUUUAAGAAACCCACAAAAUCCGUUAGAUUCGCUUCAACAUUUAAAUUUAAUUUGUCAAAAUAUUUUCGUCGCUUUGAGACCGUGACCUGUUCACAGACGAAACUUCAUGCUGCAGCUUCGUGAGUUUCUUAAAUAGCUUAUAAACACCUUCUACGCUGCAAAAAUUUUCGUUCCAGCACACGAUCUCAGAUCAAGUCACUCGCUAUGCAAGUACAUCUCCGUAAUAUAUAUAUAUAUAAUAGAUAGAUAGAUAGAUAGAUAGAUAGAUAGAUAGAUAGAUAGAUAGAUAGAUAGAUAGAUAGAUAGAUAGAUAUAGAUAUAGAUAUAGAUAUAGAUAUACUGUGGUGGGCAGCUGCAAUUGCUGGCAUUCAGACUGGGUGAUGAGACAUAUUACAGCACACAACUGCUGGAGGCAAUGCAGGCAAAAGAAGAAAGUAGAUAUUUUGUAUAUGUGGUGUAUCAACGUACAUACAAACCAUUGAUAGCUUCCAAAUACAAGAUUCCAAAUGAAUGCAACAUCGAUACGUAGGCAUACACAUGCAUGCAUACACGCAUACAGUGGAAGACGCAUACACAUAUACAUGCACACAUACAUACAUACAUAGACAUAUGUAUAUUUAUAUAUAUAUAUACAUAUAUAUAUAUAUAUAUAUAUAUAUAUAUAUAUAUAUAUAUAUAUCAAUAAUUAAGGGUAAAAUCAAUUAAUUAUUAAUUAAUUUCACCAAGUAGUGUUCAAUAUGUAAAAGGACCAUUCAAGGCAUAUUCAAAAUAUUACGUUAUAUAAUUAGGUCUCAGUAAAAUAAUUUACUUUGCCACAUACUGAAAUUUUUAGAAAUAGCAGCCAAAAAGUAUUUUUAGCCAUAACUACUACUUUAAGAAAAGUCUCCCAGAUAGUGUUUACUCAAAAAUAAUUCACGUAGAUAUGGAGGGAAAACAUCCUUCUUCCCUUCUUUCCUGAGCGUCCAAUAAUACUUUAUUUGUUCCACGUCCUUGCGUUGCUGUUUUUUUGUUUUUGUUUUCUUGUUUUGAUUAACUACAUAUAUAUAUAUAUAUAUAUAUAUAACGGGAAGGUUUACGAAAAUAAACAAAAGACGAAGGCAGGUGGAGUACAAACAAAUAACGUAUUAGUAUGGCGCUCAGGAAUAGAAAUAAAACAAGUCUUUUACGUUUCGAGCCUACGCUCUUCGACAGAAAGAUACAUAGAAAAGAAACAAAGAGAGAAACAAGGAGAAAAAAAUUGCGUGUAGGGGCUAACGAUCCAAUAUAUAUAUAUAUAGAUAGAUAGAUAUAGAUAUAUAUAUCCACAGUUUCAGAAGUACAUACUUAGGUUCAUGCAUGUGUUGAAAGGAAAAGAGUCUGAUAAAAGAAAGGUUGAAUGAAUGUACAAUUAUUCACACUUCCUCAGAUAGACAAUGAACACCUCAUACUCACAUACAUACCCUCUGUGAAAGACGCUGAUAUUGAUAGACAAUAUAAUAAUAAUGAAAGAACCACAAGAUGACAUUCGUCAACAUGCAACGAUUCACAAAAUUAUGGUGGCUUUUGUUUUAGAUUUAAAGUUAUUCAGAUGAAAUUAUCACAUUCUGUAUUGUAGCAAAUAAAGACAUCUGUAUCACUGACGUUAAAUGUAAAGAUUUAUACAACUGUAUGAGUUAUAGAGCGAGUGUCGUUCACGGACAGCUGCAAGCAUAUUCACCUCUUAACACCAUAUUCUAAAGGAAAUUGUUGCAACAGAGCACCCGUAGAAGUGAAAGGGGCCUUUAUAUCAGCUGGACAAACAUCAACCAACUUGAAUGGGCGCUCCAAUUUUUCAGGAGUUCUCCAUAUUGCAUUUCUAUUGACAGUGCUGAACGUUUAUGUUGGGUUAAUAAAAACUUGAUAGAGACUGAAAUACCUAGUGUUAUGCACUUCACCCGCAGUUUUCUUAUUCCAAAGUCUUUGACAGUGAUGCCUUUACGAGAUCUAAAUUCACAUUAGGACAUUGGGACAGGAACGAGUUUAUUUAUGUAUGUCUGCAAGUAAUAAAAGAAUAACAAGUGUUAUAAGUGAAAAAAAAAUUACAACAAAGUUCACCACCAUUUAACAACAUGCACCCUUCAUUAUCUAGUGACAUUAUUACUACUGCUGCUAAUCAAGAAUCUGUCAUCAUGCUACAAGACACCGCUGACGCUAUUUAAAAAUUGUCUACGUUUAUUUUUGAAGAGGAGGCCUACCAGCUCCCUGAUUAUGCAAAGGUGCGGCAGCUAAUGCUCGCAUCAACAUCAUGUAUUUUAUCCUUGUUAAUCUAGCAUGUGUUCUCACUAGGAAGGAAUUACAACCGCGUUUCGUGGUCUGCUACCACAACUGCUCCUUUAUAGAAUCCAGUUAGCUCCGGACAUCAUCAGGAGGAACCACGUCCGGUUUCGGCCCCUACUCCUCUACCGUUUUGACGUGCCCCCCCCCCUUUCGGAGGUGUCUUCAGCUCUGGCAUUGGGUGCAUGUUUUACAUGCAUUAUGACCUACCUCAGGCCAUAAUGCUUUACAUGCAUUAGGAAAGUUUUACGUGCAUUAUGACCGACCUUCAUUUUUCUGUAGUACAGCCCGCUGGAUAAUGAACCAUGUCUCAUCGGCUAUCUUACUGAAAACGUUUGCCCAUGCCUGUUCUAUAUAUUGUCCCUUGUAAUGUAUGUGUGUGCUCGUUCAAAGCAGAUAAUUUUUAGAUAUAGGUGUUACUGAAUAAUAAUACUCGAGGCCGACUCUUUUGAAUCAUGCUGGACUUUUUCGGUGCCGAUAAAUUACAUGAUGGCGGUCAUAGUAAGCGUAGUAAGCGUAUCUAAGUCAUUAUUGCUAGCUACAUGGAUCUACAUUUGGUUGAGCUGCCGUACUUUUUAUGUUCUUUCACUCUAAUAAACGCUGAUUAUUUUUUACGAGAUAUUUUGCCUAAGAUAUAUCUGUUUCCCCCUCUAGAUUAUGAUUCUAUGCCGAUAUCAUUAUAUAUGAUUUCGUCGGUUUUUUUACCUUGUUUAUGCGAGUGCCAUUGUUUAUUGGUAUAGAGUUCUUUUCUUAUCAGCGAAUUUAAAUACCUAUCCUGAAGAAUUUAUGGCACUUAUUUUUCUGUUAGUCAUAUUUUCGAGUUCUUAGUUCUUGUUCUAAAUUCAAAUUUGAUUUUAUUACACUAAAAUAUUUUCUAAUGCGUCAACGUUACUGUUCUCUUCUGUUCUGGGUAUUUCAGGAAUGUUAUAAUAUGUAAUAAAACGUCUUAGUUUGUCUUGUAAUUAUUUUCUCUUUCAAAUAGCUUUUCUCUUCGAAAAUUUUAAAACAAAUGAUCAUGUAUUAUUACUGUCAUAUAGCCAUGUGGUUAAAUCGUUCGUUUGAUAAUCACGUGAAUUUGAAGUUCGAUCUCACUACAGGAAACCUUUGGCAACUCUCCUCUAACCAUAUACAUGAGUUGGCAAUAAUUGAGAAGUAAGUAUAUGCAAAUCGUUGUUUUCAAUUCUCUCUAGCUCGCUCUCUAAUCUUAAAACGUAUUUCCUUCUCGUACAUUUCACUAACGUCUCACCCACAAAAACUGACUUGCAAAGAGGAAUACAGAAUUAGUAAAAGUAAAAUGCAACAAUAUUAUGAUUUAAAUAUUUUAGUUGGAGUUUUAAAUUAUGUCAGAUUUUGGAGAAAUAAUAUAUAGCUUACUGAACAAGCGAUUAUAUAAGUCAAAGCUAAAUCAAGAUAUUCAAUCAGCAUUAAAGGAAAAAUAACUAUGUGGACUUCAGAAUUCAAUUUCGAAAGCAAAUUUGUGUAAUAAAUUAUUUUAUUAAUGGAGGUCCGUCACAGCAAGAAAUGUGAAUGUGUAAAAAUGCAUACAUAUAUAUAUAUAUAUAUAUAUAUAUAUAUAUAUAUAUAUAUAUAUACAUGCGCUUGUUAGUUUUUGUGUGUGUAUGUGUGUAUAUAUAUAUAUAUAUAUAUAUAUACACACACACGAGUGUGUGUGUGAGACAGCACGUCUAAGUUAUUAAAUGGUUUAUUUAAUGAGAUUAUGUAACUAUGUAUACAUAACAUGAACGUAAUGAGGAACACAAUGAUGGUAGAAUCAAUAUAAUAUUUAUUAUUUGAUAAUUUUAUACUCUUUAUACGAUGCAUUGUAAGAAUGGUUAUAGCGUCGGAAAAAUGGCUCGUCAAGGUCGACUUUGUCUUUCAUCCUUCCUCUCAAAAUUGAGGCUCUUGUACCUUUAUUAGAAAUAAUUACUAAGUUAUACAGAAUUGUACUUGGAAGAUAAAAUAUUCCUAAUAUAUAUAUAUGAAAGUUGGCUGAAAGUUGAUAGGCUAACCAGACUACUACCAUGGAAUGUGACCAGAUUGGUUACAUAAACUGCGAAACUGUUUCCCAGGCAUGUUUUGUGAGGUUGGGGAGUUGGGGAUCAGAUAAUAGUCAGAUGAGGCCAAAUCAUGAGAACAGGGAAUGUAGUGAAACAGUUCAAAGCCACAGUCACGCACAGCAACCAUUGAAACGAAGGGCUUGUGUGCUGGAGCAUUGACCUGAUGAAACAAGACCACUUUCGUCAGUUUCUCGGGACAUUUGGUUUUGAUGGCCUUUCAUAACUACUUCAGCAGGUUGGUAUAGUACUCUUCAUUGAUGGUGUGGCUCUUUUGAAGAUAGUCAAUGAACACGAUGCAUUUUGCAUUCUAAAAAACUGCAGGUGAAACGAACGUGACCUAUUUUGGAUUAAGUGAAGAGGGGAGUUUCCCCUGCACGGAUUGCUUCUUUUUCUUUGACACAAAGUGAUGAAUUCAACAGUCAUCCUGGGUUAAGAUACUCCUAAGAAAAUCAGCUGGAUCUGUCUGCAACAAUGUCAGAUUUUCCCCUUGACGUGAUCAGCCUGGUGCGCUUUUGAUGAGGAGUCAGAAGAUGUGGCACCGACCAAGCAGAAACCUACGUCAUGCCAAGUUCAUUGUGCAGAAUAUUCUUAAACUCACAUGCGAGAUAGGUUAAUAUCAUUGGAUAUUUGAUUUAUACCAAAUCACCUGUCAUCCGUCCCCAUGUGCUGAACACUAUGAAUGUCUUCCUCAGUGGUGGCAAUGGCAGGGCGUCCAGACCUUGGGAUAACUUCGAGUCUCUUCCUUCCUCUCCUAAUUUCAGAUGCCCAUUUUUGUACUGUUCAUAAAUCUGGAUUGCUAUCCACUAAUGUAGUAGUCAUAUCAGCUUUAAUGGCCUCAGGGCUAAGCCUUUUUCUUGAUUUUGUCCAUUUUCAAGAGAUGUCGCUAGUAGUUACAUUUGAAAUCUCCUUUGUACACUCAGAUAUCAGUUUAUCUGAAAAAAAUAAUAAUUAAUAAAAAGUGUUGAAAUUACUGCAUACAGGAUUUUACAGUUCCAGCGUCACUCAUUCAUAAUCACGCUAUGAAAUUUUCAGCCAACCCUCGGAGUAUUAAUAGGUGAAGAAAUGUAUAGAUUGGAGGUGUACAAUAAACUGACAGCGACAGGAGAAUAAUAGUAUUCUUUCAGGGAAUGUAAACGAAAGAAAAUACAGAGGAGGGCAUCAUGAAAAUAUUUAAUUAAGUUUGCUGCUUGUGAUGAAGAUUUCUGCUGCCAAAAAGGAAAAAAAAAUAAAGAAAAGAUAACGUGUUUCAAGUGAUAAUCACUUUGUAUUUAAAAAAAACACCUUUCAUGAAUAUUCAUAAAUAAAUACACAGAAGUAUAUUAUUAUCUAAACAAACCCUAGCUACAGCUAUGACAAAUACCUCUGAACUCAAUCAUAAAUCUAGUUCAAAGGUUGUAGUGGUUGGCACAGAUAAAUAAUUUGAAGCAGACGCGACGCUCAAAUCCCCAGGCGAUAUUACAAACUUUUCCGUCUCCCAUUACACACAGACAUAUAUGCAUGUGUGUACAGCGUAUCAAUAUACAUACAUACUUACAUAUUUACAUAUAUACAUACAUACAUACAUACAUACAUACAUACAUACAUACAUACAUACAUACAUGCAUACAUACAUACAUGCAUGCAUACAUACGAACGUACAUAUACUGGGUGUUCGGAAUAAAUUUGACGACAUUUUAUGUAUCCUUUAUUUCAGAAACAGCUUGAUGUAUUGAUGAACAGUUAACUGUGUUGGAGAGCAUAAUGAUGGAAAUUGUUGUUGAGAAAAAGUCAGCUGAAAUGGACCUACCAGAAUAUUGGAAAAGACUUGCCAGCAUAAUGAUGCGUCGUACCGAGUACCAAAAUGCCGUCAUCAUGACCGUUGCGCAAUGUUCUGUGAACACAGCAAAGGCUUUUGAACAACCGCAACGGAGAGUAUGAAGCUAUGGCCUGCAGAAAGGGACACAACAGGCGUUCUAACUGCAUACACACGUCGGAAUUCGACCAACUUCUUUGAACAGAAUAUUACGUUCUAUUCAUGAAGGUGUGUGAAGCUGCUGGAUAUAGUGGCCAAUCUUUGGCUGGAGAGCCACUAUUGCGGCAGCGGGAUCGGCUCAACAACAUACCGUCAGAAAGGGUCAGAAGCGGUUGUCAGAGAAUUUCUACUGCUUCUCCAGACCCAAUUUCUGGCUUCCUAGUUCUUCCAGUUGCAAUCUCGUGGAUUACUGUGUGUAGGGUGUGGUUGAGAAAAACACCAUCUAGUCAGCUGGCGGCCAAGAUCAGUGAGUUGUUCGAAGAUCUUCACAGGGAGAUUGUGAAGAACACAUGUGCCAUCAUUCUGGAGCCGCCUUGAGGCUGUGAUGGAAGCUGAGGAGGGCUAGUUUGAAUAAAGUGUAAUCUCCCAGCCAUAAUCUAGUUGGUACUUUUUAAAAGACUUUAUUUUCUGAUGAGAUAUAGUGUCUUAUUUUCCUUUUAUGCAAACUAUCAAAUUUAGUUCGAACAACCUGUAUUUAUACAUAUUAAUUCUUGGUUUUAUGAUUAUUUAUAAUAAAAACAAUUUAAAAUUAAUGUAGAGUUACUUUUGUAGAAUGCAAAUAUACUUUGGUAGAUUGCACAUUUAUUAUUCUUCAGUAAGAAUGUUAUUGAAUAGAGGCGCAAUGGCCCAGCGGUUAGGGCAGCGGACUUACGGUCGGGAGAUCGCGGUUUCGAUUCUUGUGUGUGUUUAUUGAGCAAAAACACCUAAAAGCUCCACGAGGCUCCGGCAGAGGGUGGUGGCAACAGCUGUUGCACUCUUUUGCCACAACUUUUUCUCGCUUUCUCUUCCUGUUUCUUGAGUAACGCUGCGAUGGACUGCCAGCUGGGGGGAACACAUACGCCCGGGAAACCGGGCCAUGAGCCUGGCUAGGCUUGAAAAGGGCGACGAAGAAUAUUAUUGACAGUGACUUCGAAGUUUUGGGUCAGCUAAGCCAUCGUCGGACUGCGAUGCAUUGAAAUUAAUCUUGCUUUAUAUACUCAUUAUUGAGAUAAAAUUCUUCUUUUGGUACGUGGGUUUGAGUGGAAUGGUAAUUAGGUUGUAGGAUAGGUUGUAAUGAAAAGGAAUUUUGGAGAAAUUGUUAAUAAUUAAAUUUGGUGUUAGUUUAUUGUUUAAAACUUAUCUAUGCAUGCACAACUUAGUAAAGAGGUGUGUAUGUUUAGGCGCGCAUGUUACAGAUCAUGGGAUGGUUUCUAGUGUGUCACUAAAAGUAUGUAGGUAGGUAUAGAAAGUUUCUGGAUCGUUUGAUGUGCCAGUUGUUUCAAUUAUUUUUGGUUUUAUUACAUCUAAUUCUUUGCUUUGGCAAUUUAAAUUUCACAGACUCAAAGUUUAGUCCAGUUUUUAAUAUCGAAGUAAGUGGGUGUAUCAACUUUCUUGUAUUAAAAUUUUUAAGGGAUUACAAAAGAAUGAAAGAAGGUGUUAUGCUUUAGCUGGUCAGUUUUUUACGUGUUGUUAUUUAGAGUGUUUCCGCUUUGUGUUUGGAAGCUGGAUGUUAUAAUUUCGGCAUAUCAUGCUGUUGUUAAUAAAAAAAAUUAUUUAAGGCGGCGAGCUGGCAGAAACGUUAGCUUGCCUGGCGAAAUGCUUAGCGGUAUUUCGUCUGCCGUUACGUUCUGAGUUCAAAUUCCGCCGAGGUCGACUUUGCCUUUCAUCCUUUCGGAGUCGAUAAAUUAAGUACCAAUUCAAAUUGUUCUUCUCAAAUCCAAUGUAUACUCGUAUAUUCAGUUAAAGGACUUAGUCACAUCACAAGUUUCAACUGAAUACUGCAUUUCCCUUAAAUUCCUUUUGAACAUUUUGAGUUAUAUGUAGCAACUGGCUAUCAUAUUUCAAAACUUAUACUCACUUUUCCUUAACUUAAUUUCAUACCUGAUUUAUUUACUAACCUCCUUUAAGUAAUCAUGGUGUUUAAAUCUCAUAUACAAAAUUUGGCAAAGGAGCGUGGCUAAGUGGUUAGGAGUAUAUUUACCUAUCAAUCAUGAAGUUGUGCUUUUGACUCCUGGGGCGCAUAUAUGUACAUACAUACGGAAAUGUCAGACGAUGAAAAUGAGUGCUCAAAUCCGCAUUGGUGGCUUUAAUUUCUUUAUUUGUGAACUAAGGUUACCAUUGGUUUCAUGUUAAGAAAAGUAGGAAACAUCCUAGUGUCUUAACAAUUUUUCAAGCCAGUUAUAUGGAGAAAGGUGUUCCCAUCCAUUUGGGAAAACUCAGCCUCGAUAUAUAUAAACAGUAUAUAUAUGUCUGUGUGUGUGUGUGCAUGUGUGUGUUUGUGUGUGUGUGUGUGUGCAUACAUACACACACAC